GCGUGAGAGCCUUGCAAAGCACUCGCCGGGAAGCUGUGCUGCCAGGACACGUGAGUGUGCCUGACCCGUUUUCUGACCUUCCGCUCCUCCACUGUUCACCGAGCGGGAGGAUCGCUGCAGGCUGGUGUCAAUGAUAACAGAACCGCGGAAUGCUCCCAGUCCCUGAGGGCUAGCUUUGGGUGGCUGCUGAGGUCUUGGAGAACUCUUCUCAAUCUGUAGCCAACCCUCUGAGGAAGGCAUGACCUUCUGUAAAUCUGCAGGAUAGGCCCUUGCCUGAGAGCGGUGUCCUCAGUCCUCACCUUUCCAACAAGCCACAUGCUUUGCUUACCCCUGUUCUACAGAUGCAGAGUCUGUUUUGGGGACAAACAGUGGCAACCAGAGGGAAAAUUCCAACCUGAGCUCCUCCCAUCAAAAAGCCAAGCUCCCAGGCAGAGGGAACUUGAGAUUUGGCAGAUAGCUUAGUAGCCUUAAGUCCAAAAGUCUGGUUACCCUAGAAAAAAGAAAACAGGCCCCAGGGAAAGGAGCGAGCUUCCACAAACACCUGGAUUGUGAGAGGUUUGAACUGCUGUCCCUCUCCCAAGUCCACAUCCUCAACUGGAAACAUCUAAAUUAGUUCCACACCAUCCAUAUCUUCCUCCCCUGAUACCACCUGAUCGAAACCCCUCAGCCUCUUCUAUGACUCAUUUUAAUAAAAGUGCAAACUCUGUGAUGAGCCAUGAGGACGUUAUGUGGUGCUAAACCCCAACACUUGUUUUUUGCAAUGAAGUAGCAAGUGACAGAAGUAGGUUAAGACCAUGACACGAUGACAAGGCAGAACUCUGGCUUGGGCUUGUGAAAAGGGAGGAGGUGGGGAAAGGCCUGCUGGAAAUACGUGCUCCAGGCCUCUGGGGCUGCACCAAAACAGAAACCAACUGGAGCCCUUGCAACACAUAGACUGGGUAAUGUUUUUGUCAUGAAAUCCUCUGGAAACACGUGAUUUCCAAAUGGUAGUUUUCAGAGUAGCUUCUAUGGGAAGGGUCCUGCACAGCAAAGAAAAUGCUGAAAGGAUUUCUGGGCUUUCCAGAACACCCUACUUUCCUACCAAGUGAUUCUCUGUAGCAAGAGACCAGAUGAUGGGGCCAGGGAGCUGAAAUCCAGUUCCCACUCUACUUGCUAAGCCCUGUGUUUGUGAGGCUGCUCUGCCCCUACUUUCUCAAAUUUGUACAAAGCACAGAAUAGGGUAAUACUGCUUUGCCUUCCCCCAGCCCUAACCAUUUACACAUAGAUGUGUCAUAGUCACUUUCCCAUCCCUGAGACACAAUACCCCACACCUGUAACUUAAAGGAAGAAUGGUUUCUUUUGACACCGAGGUGGGACAGCAUGGCACUGGAAAAUGGUGGAGAAGCUGCUCAUGUCACGAUGGUACAAGAGUGGAGGAAGUCAAGGGAGGAGCCUGGAAGGGAGAUAUAACCUUCUGUGUCAUGUCCACAGUGACCCUCUGCUUCUGACCAGGUCCCCACCUGUGAAUAGCAAGUCAGCUGUGAUGCCCCUGUAAUCCAGUUACCUUCCAAGGGUCAUGCCUGUGCUCCCAUGAGGCCUUGCAGGGACAUCUAAAUGUAAACCGAAACACAAACACAUAGAGCCAUAUAAACAUAUGCACACACAUAUGCAUACGCACAUACACAUUUUCACAAACAUGUACACGAACAUACAUGCAGAUGUAUUUGUUUUCCUUUACUAUCACAAAUAAUGGAGGCUUAGUAAUUUGUAAGAUACUGGCUACGUCACAACAUGAUAAAGAAGAACAGAGAGAAACAGCUGUGCAAAGAAAAGAGACAAAUACAUGCAUGGUCUUGUUUUCUAACAACCUGCUCCUGAAGAUCUAACUCUACGAGUCCAACAUUAAUCCCCUCUGAAGGUAGCACCUCUAACGACCUCAUCACCUCCCACUAUGCCCCACCUCAUAAGGGCUCCACCAUCUCUCAGUAUCACCACAUAAGGACCAUAUGAACCCUGGGGCACACACUCAGAGCAUGUCCAAAUCAUAGCAAUAGAACAUACACACAUACACACUAACUCAUAUUCAUCAAGGUACUACACACAAUCACAAAUACAGACUAAGCCAUCAUACAGCACACAGAGAUGUAGACACAGACACAAUUAUAGUGACACAAAUAUGUCCACACACUGACACACAAACACACAAAUACAGGCACACCUAAGCACGCACUCACAUAAUACACAUAUACCUAUACAUACAUACUUAUAUAGGUAGUCUCAUGCUCACUUGCAUAUCACAUACAUAAAAGGAGAAACACAUAUUUACGUGUAGGCACACAUACACUUAGACAUAGAGACCACACAGGUACAUAUAUACACAAAAAAGCAGACUUACACACACAUAUACACAGAUACAUGUUUAACCAGAAAAAUUCUACUUUUAUUAAUUUUCUAUGACAGCUUAUGUUAAAAAUCUUUAUUUAAUAAAUGUUUCACUAGUAAAGGAGAAUGAAUUGUUCCUCUUGAAGGUUUAUUCUUCACUCUUCAAUGAAAUCUUGUAUGACAAUAUGUGGGAAUAAAAUGAUAGUGAGCAGUAUACUCAGACAUGAUAAUGCUAAGUUUCCCCAUGAUCUGAGUAUUGAUAGUUUUGGUUUUAGUUUAUAUCAUGAUAAAGAGUUAUAAUUUAACACUGCUAUGUAACAUAUAAAGCCAGGACUCCAUUUUACUAUACGUUCUCAAAUAUUUCUCUAUGUCCUAUUUCCUUCAAUUCCAAAAAAAUCUCUGGAGAUUUGGAAAAUGAUAUGAGGACUGAGGCAGGGUAUAUUUUGAAGGAUUAUAUUGGACAAAACUCUUUAGGUUGUAAGAAAUAAAAAUAUAAUUCAAACUUGCUUAAACAGGCAGUUUAUUGGCUCAUAAAAUCAGGUAACUCAACAGGAAAGUGAAAUUCAGGAAAUACUGGAUCUGGAGAGUAUUAUGUCUUCACUUUCUUUUAUUCACCAUUUUAAGUCUUUUAAUUUCUGUAUUGACUUCGUACUCAAGUAGGAUCACCCUAUGUGAUAGCAAAGGUGGCAAACAAUCACUUUAGCAUCCCAAUGCCCUUCUAAGUCUUGGUGUGUUAUAUCCAUACGAUGGAAUACUAUUUAUUCUUAAAAAGGAAUGAAAUACUGAUACUGCGAUGCUCGAUAUGAACCUCAGAAAGUAUGCUGAGUGAAAGGAGCUGGCAUAAAAAAAUAGAAACCAUAUGACUAUAUUUUUGUGAAGUUCUAAACUAACCAAAUUUAAAAUAAUUAUGAUUAAAAAUUAUCACCUGACAUGAACUUAGGAGGGUGGAUAGAGUCAAACUGUGAAGGGACAUGGGAAAACUUUCUGGGAUAAUAGAAAGAUUCAAAACCUUUGUAGAUGUGUGGGCUACAUGAACAUAUCCAUUUAUAAUUGUACAUUUUAUGAUGUGUAAAUUUUACGUCAAAUAAAAAUCUGUUAGGUGUUAAAGACAAAGAAGGAUUGACUCAGUUGGAGGUGCUUGGAUAGUGACUGGGGAGAGAACACUGUGGAGCUUCUAGGUAGAAUGACAGGAGGAUGGAAGGUUGCCAGUGAUGUGUGCUCUUCUGAAAUAGCUCUUUUCUCACAGAUCUCAGAGGAACAGGAAGGACAGGACACAGCACCAAGGCAGACUAUUCUGUUCAAUGUCCUUGACUAAUCUAAGCAGCAACCCUUCUCUGCACUUUAUUUUUCCUACCUGUAAGAGGAAAGAAUGUAAGAUUAUACCUUCAAACAUUUAAAAUCAACUAAAGCCACAAACCUGUUGUGACAAAGCAAGAGAUGGAACACAAGAUCUGAAACUGUAAAAUCCCCACAACUUUCCUAGUACCAUAUUUCAUGUAUUCUAAGAUGCACUUUUUAAAUUCUUUUUAAAUUUAGUAAUUACUAGCACAUAUUAAUUUUUCAUGAUAAUGGGUUUUAUUAUGACAUUUCUAUACAUGCAGCCAUGUGCUUCUUCCCAAAUCCUGUUUUACCCUUUCCCUUGUCCUUUUCCCCUUUCCUAAUAGGCCCCCUUUCAACUUCCAUUUCUCCUUAUUUUUUGCUAUAUUCCACAUAUGAAAGAACUAAAUGCACACCCUUAUCUAACAUCUACCAUCACCGAAAUCAGAGGAUGCCCUAUGAUCAAUAACUUGCCAUGGUGAAGCAAUAUCACAGUUGCACUGCCUGCUUGCAUGUUCUUGGUUAUAAUUCCUGUUCAAAAUGGCAAGACAACUACUAUCAUUGAUGCUUGAGACAAUCAACAACAUAUGGACCUUUGGAGGAAGAAAUGUGAGUUUCUUCCACCCCAUGUCUACAAGACUGCUGUAAUCAGAUGUCCUGUUCUUUCCUGGACUGAGGGGUGAAGACCCUAAAAUGCAGAGAGGAUGACUGCUUUCCUGCUAUCACAUGGCCACACAGUAGCAGAGCCAGGAUGUCAGAUGCACACCACUCUUCACAACAAGAGGGGAUGCCCACUACUUGAAUCUUCCACUGGAAUCUGGCUUGGCUUCAGUCACUUAUUUGACCAACAGAACCCAGAAGAAAUGAUUUUCUAGACCCAGGGCAAAGCCACAGGAGGCUCCUCAGCUUACUCCUGGUUCGUUCACAGUAUAGCUGGCCUGGUGUCUCUGCAGGCUCUCCAUUCAACAGUUCCAUCAGCCACAUGUGGAAAACAUUUUACAAACUAUGGUGAAGUCUAAGCUCUGUGACAUGGAGUUCUCCCUCUCCAGGACUCCACAGGUAUACACAGGAGAGCCAGAAGGUGACUUACAUGCUGGAGUUUGCCUUGUUUCUUUCUUCUAUCAUUACAUCUUCCCAACAGCUUUUUGUUAUAAUGUUUUUGAGGUGCCACUGGCAUGCAACAACUAGGAAAUAAUGAGGAAGACACCAAGAGAGAGGAGAAACAAGGUCUACAAUCCCACAAUCUCGGGAAGAGAGUCAGGAUCUGAACCCAGGUCUCUGAGGCCCAGGGUCUCUUGCUCCCUCCUAGGGACAGCUGUGGACCUGGGUUGUCCCUGUACCACACAGAAUAAGAGAAGGUGUUGUCGUCCACCUCUGAGCGCAUUGCAAGGCCAGCACAAGCAAAGGAUUUACUGUUGUUAAAUUUUCAACCAGAGUGACCUUUUCCUGCAGAUCCAGCCCACAGGAAAGGUCGGCGAGCUGACUGCCCCCUUAUUUAUCAGAGCAGUUUCCAGGAACUCAGCUGGCACCGGGCAGUCACUCAGCAGGCACUUGUGGCUUGACUGCUGGCUGAAAGGUGCCGUUGCCCUGCCACCAGCCCCCACAGCCUGCAUCUGGACGGGGAGAGGAAAUGUUACCUCUGGCAUGUGCUGCCAGCCCCCUCACGACUCCCUGGGCUGGCCGUCAGGACACACGCUGCUCCAUGUCCAGAUCUCUGGAACCUUCAAGAAAGCUUAUGUCCAGUCUGACCCCAACGCUGCCCAACACCCCCACUCCCUCCCUGCACACCAGGCGCUCAGACUCAAGUGGGGAGGCUCAUCCCACUGACCUCUCAGCCCCUCCCACUCACAUAAGACUGGGAAGGAUUCGGGAGAAAAAAAACGCUUUCAUCCUGAAGGCAAGAACCAGGCUACACCUCUCACCUGGCUUUAGCCUUGCCUCCUCUCCCCUCAAAGCCCCACCCUCAUCUGGAGUGCCACCACCAUUGCCCCAGUCAUAGCUUUCUCCUUGGUGGUCAGUGGGUCCCCAGCCCUGGGGCUGCUGCUCUAGUGGCCAGAUCAGCAAUUGCAGAUGAGUCUCGUUACCUCCGGAGCACGGGAAGCUGAUUAUAGAGCUUGGGGUGCAGUGCAGCCUCCCUGCCCCAUUCUUAUCCACAGGACCAGCAUUCUGCCCUACAGGUGCCCUGCCCACCUCCUGCCCAGCCAGUCCUGGCUGUGACAGCACCGCCACCACCCCACAGCAGCUGCAGUUACAAAGUGGGUGAGGCAGAGGGACUCGCUUCAACCCUGACAUUCAGUCCGUCCCUUGUGACUUGGGCUGCUUGUCCCUGGGCUGUUGGAUAGGAGCAGGGACAGCCUUUUCACUAGAUAUCUGGGGCAGGGGGGAAAGGUCAGCAUUCAGACUGGGCUGCUGAGUCAUGACCGAGACUCCCGAGCCUCCAGGUCCCGGCAGUGACUUCGUCUCAUCAGGAUCUUCCUCCCCCUUGCAGCUGGGUGGGAGGGAUUCAGCACAGGGCAACCCUGUGAGAAUGUCCUUGUCUCCCUUCAUAAAAAAAGAUGUCAGGACAUGGUCAGCAAGAGAGCAGGCUUUGGAGUUGGACCCACAGCAAGUUCCCUGACUCCCUGCCUCAGCUCCUCCUGGCCAUCGUGGGGACCGUCUGUACCACCCAACUUGGGGGACAGUUGUGAGAAUAAAGGAGGUCAUGCAUGCCAAAGGCUCAGCAGAGUACAUGUCAAACAAUAAGUGUCCAAAGGGGCAGGCAUUAUUGCUUGGUCUUGAGGGAUCUUUGCGCCCCCACAGACACCAGGCUCUGGUACCCACUGCCCUGCUUCUGGUAAUAUGCCUGUGGCUUUGGAAAAUUUGAUUGAAAUGGAACAGGAGUGGGACAGGAAGAAAGAAAAGAUGAGUGACUUUUAUUUUAACCAUCUCAGAUGCACAAACUUCUUGCCCAAUAUGGAUAAUUCCCAGCUAUGUUUGCCCCCUCAGAAACCAAAGCCGAGGCAGAUGUGAGUGCCAUGCACACAGCUUGGAAAGCAGGUGGUCCUACGUCAAGCUUCUGGUCUUAGACAACUAGAGAAAACAGCCCCUAAACUGCUACCUCUGACAUGCACGGCUCCCUUACCAGCCCAUGAACUCAAACUGAUCUUUCAUGUGCUGGCUCUUGGUUCAAUCUUCUUCCUUCCCGCAUCCAAGGUGUCUCCUCCUCCACUUAGAGGGAAAGCAUCCAUGCACACUUCAGACCAACAUGGAGAAGAUCUAAUGUGCUCUGCGUCAUCUGGCAAGAUGUUUCACCUCCCUGGUAACCUAGCUAUCUUUAGCCUCCUUGAUGCUAUUUUGAAAUGUCAAACUAGCAAAUACUGCUUCCAAAACAGUUCUGAUCUGGGAUGUGACAGGAUGCGUGGGGGUGGGGAGAUGAGGAGGUGGGAGGGAAAAGAGCCUCUGGUGGCGGGUGAGAUAAUGCACCCGCUUGGCAACUGCCAGGAUUCUCUCCCUUCUAACGUCCCAGCCACCUCCUCUGGGGGCCGACCCACCCAGGGGGAAGUGGAGCAUGAGUCCCACCAGGGCCUAACCCAGAGGGACGUUUGUGUAUCUGACUCGGGAGCACACUGGACACUACACAAACUGACUCCCAUGUGCCUGGUUCUGUGUGAAAAUAUUCACUCAUGCAUUCAUUCCUUCAACAGGUAUUAUUAUUACGAGCUAGGUGUCAGGCGCUAUACCAGGCAAAGGUUAACACCCCUGGGAAUCGUCCUGGAGCUUCAUUAAAAUGCAAAGUCUCAAGCCCAGCUCUGGGAGUUUGAUGCCCAGGAGUUUGCAUUUUGCACAAGCUCCCAAGUAUCCUGAUGCACAAGGUCCAGGUAUAUGAAAAACUUUGGUCUAGCAGUUGGUAGCACCUCUUGCCUUUAGUAAGCCUUAAGCAAGUAAGCCAAAGCUGAAAGAGGGAUAUAGGAAUACCACCCCAAACCUCAACAACCAUACCACUCACAAUGAGUAGGAGCCAAAUAAAUAAUGUGAUUUUAGGGUAGGGAGAAGUAGAGGGCCGUUAGAGGUGAGAGCCCCAGGGAGGAGUGACUCCCUCUGGGGACUAGGGAGGCUUUGUGAAGCAGGCAUGUUUGAGUUGAGUCUUGAAGGCAUUUUCUUGCAGGGUUUUUUUUUUCUUUUUCUUUUUGGAAGGUAUAGAUGGCACUUUGUGAAGAUAAACUCACUGAGGCAUAUCUCCCAUCCCACAUGUUCUUACCAUGUGACUGGUACACUGCCUAUGAAGAACUGAGGCUCUGUACCUUCUGCUCUUGAACCUGGGAAGGAGCAUGUAACUGCUUUUCACCAGAGUGGGGCAAAAAUGACACAUGUGGUCCAGUCACUGAAAGCUUCUGCUUGGCUCUUUCCCUCUCAGGACACAGGCAUCAGAGGUGAGCCACUCAUACACAAGCAGGCUAGCUUCCCCAUAUCUGCAGCGCUGGAAGAAUCAAAGAAAUCAAGCAUCUAGCCCCAGCCACUGAGCUGCCCCUGCUGAUCCAGAGUGCAACAGAGGCGAACUGUUCCUAAAUUGCACAUUCAUGAGCAAAAUAAAUGUUUUCAUGUUUUUAAACUUCUA